rnacentral:sRNA from 1 species
UAAACCAAAACUGAAAAUAUGACGUCAAACACAUUAGGGAGUAGGUUGUUGAUCA